UUCUCAGGUGUGGUCGGAAUGCUCCUGAAUUUGGAUAACCCCAUUGGCAAUCGUACCAACCAUUACCUUGCUCGGACUAUCGCUCUAUGAACUCGGGGCCCAGCAAGCGUCGGUUCACUGGGGAAUCGCGGCGCUCACCAUGAUCCUGAUGAUCCUGUUCUCCCAGUACCUCCGUGACCUGCAGUUUCCGAUCCCGAUGUGCAAGGCGGGCGGAGGCAUGCAGAUCUCGCGCUUCCCGCUCUUCACUUUUUUUGCCGCUGCUCAUAACGAUCUGCAUCUCGUGGAGCCUGUGCGCGAUCCUCACAGCCU